rnacentral:lncRNA from 1 species
UGGUGGAACUUGUCGAAGGAAACAACCACCUUAUCAGACUCAAGAGUUGUCAUGGCAAGUACCUCUUGGCUUCUGAUGUUGCAUUUCUUCUUGGUAUGACGGGAAACAAGGUUACUCAGACUUCACCUGAAAAUACCAACGACUUGAGAAUUGAAUGGGAACCAAUAAGGGACGGAUUUCAAGUGAAGUUAAAGGAUUUUGGUGGAAGAUAUUUACGUGCAAAUGGAGGGACACCGCCUUGGAGAAAUUCUGUCACACAUGAUAGUCCUCACACUGCGUCUACACAUAAUUGGAUUUUAUGGAACGUGGAAACUGUUGAUAUACCGGAAAAUGAAAUGUUGACAGAUUAUUUAAC